AGGACGGUGGACACCAUGCAUUGGACACUCAAGGCUGUGGGAGGGUCAGGGCUUGUGCCCAGGGCUCCUCCCUGUGCCAACUGUCAGCCAUGAAUCCCACCUCCCGGAAGCCCAGCUGUGGGCAUAGGAGGUCAGCUGGUCGCUCAGCCUCCAGGGACAUGGCCGGAGGUCGCUGCUGCGCCUGCUCUCUUGGCCUGCGCAUUAUUUCCUGCUAAUCAGCGUCACUUGGCCCCGAGGGAUGCUGGCCCCAUGUGCCACCAGCUGCUCCAAGAGCUGCUCCCCUGUUCCGGGCACGCUUGGCUGGCUUUGGUGAGGCCCAGCAUAAGCGGAGCUGACAGCCCCAUCUGUCUCCUCCUGAGCAGCAAGCAGUGCUCCCGGCAGGCACGGGUCCGGCGAACCUGUGGGCUGGCCAGGGCAGGUGGGCAGCAGUCGGCUCAGCCACGCACCAGGCCAGCCUUCUGCCUGCGAAUCAGAACCUGGGCUGGAUGCUCCACUCUGACAGGCACCGAGGAGACAGCAAGGGGCGCUGCAGGGGAAGCUGCUGCCGCUGGGAUGGGCCGGGCUGUCUCUCAGGAACUGCUACAGUAUCCUGUAUCCCUUACUGGUACAGAUGAGGCUGCCGAGGCUGGGCUGGGGGUGCCUGGGCCCAGUGAGUCACCCACUGCUCAGGAAGCUGUGCUCUUGAAUCUGCUGGGAAGAGACCCGGACGCAGGAGACACACUCAACCUCCUACAUGAGGGAAGCUGGGGCCACUCCUGCCCACCUGGAGGCAGAGGCCAGAGGAUCCUGGAAGGUCUCCAGCAUGGGCAGGCGAAAGAGGUGGGGCAGGGCUGGGUCUGGCCAGGACGAGGACAGUAGGGUGCACAAAAGGGUCCCUGCUCGGCCCCAGGAAACAGACUCUGGGAGGGACAGGGUCUGGGAGUGGAAGGGUGCUGGAGGACUUUCGGGAGAACCUCAGAGAGCAGCAUGGUGGUGCAGUGUGAUCACGGCAGCCUCGGCCAACAGGCCAUGCAGGAGGCCAGGGCACCUAGGGAUCUGGAACAAAACAGCAGGAGGCCCGAGGGACCUCUGGUUUCCCGCCCUCCCGUCCACCAGGGCUGGGCUCUGCAGAGAACCCGAGGGGCAGCCAGGACUGAGACACAUUGAGGGCCACCUGCAGGAGCCAGGGUGGCUGCGCCCACGCCUUCUGGCCUCUUGCCAGCCUCCUCCUGCUCACGGCCUGGACCUGGAGCUUUUUAAAGUUGUGCUUCUUCCCUUCUGGGAGGUACUGAAGCUCCUGGUGGGGAACCGCCCAGCUAAGCAGUCGGUGUCCUCAAAUUCCCAGCUGAGAGCCGCCGCUGGAGCUUGGAAAGGGCUGCUUCCUUGACCCGGGCCCUGUGUGUCAGCUUCCUCAGCAGCAUCCUGAGGGUCCAUGGGCGGUCAGCUUUCCUGAGACCACUGUGACGCGGCCGCACCCCUUGGGGAGGCCACCAUUCGGGGAGCAGAGGACAGCGUGCUGGGCUACAAGGCACUCAGGGGGGCCAAGCCAUGCAUCAAGCCCAGGUCUUGGCUCCCUGGCCCGGAAGUGGGGCUCCCAGCUGGAGGGGUCCGCUAAGUGGCAAAGCCCUCUAGAGCCUCCAGGAGGCACUCAAGGCCUGGACACGCCCGGCUGCAGUCCCUUCCUGCCUCAAUCAGGAUGACUCAGGAUGCACGUGGUCCUGAGCCUGCCAUGGGCUGUGAGCCUCAGUGAUUCCAUCUGUAAAAUGGAGAAACCUGCUUCCUGGUGAGCGAGGAGAAAGGGACCAGUGCCACAGAGAGGGUCAGUAAUGUGGUUCCAUUCCCCACCCAUCGCUGGAGAAGGGAGGAAGGAGCGGAGGGGGAGGAAGUGAGUUGGGGGCAGAUGGGGAAGGGAAUGGUGUCUGGGACCCUUGCCACUGGGUCAGAGGCAUGGGUCACCAACAGCGGCUGGUGCCCAGGCUAUAGGAAGGCUGCCACCCUGCCCAGCAGCGUGCACACCCCAAAUUCGCAGCUGGGCUAAAAAUCACACCAGCUAGAAUGAUUCACUGCAGCCUAUUUUGUCUGUGAUUUUUUUUUUUUUUUUUUUGUACUAGGUAUUGAACUCAGAACUGCAUGCUUGCAAGGCAGGCACUUAUGCCCGUCAGCUAAAUCCUCAGCCCUGUCUGUGAUUUUUUAACUUGAGAAAAUAAAUUAAAGAUAAAUGAAAAGGUGUCAGAACCGAAGUCCAAAGGACCUCUGCCUGGCUCGGGGCAGGGUCCCAAAUGGCUUCAGGUGCCCAGGCCCCUGGGGACGCUGGCUUCUCCCACCAUAGCCAGAAGCCCAGCCUGGGGUGGCCUCCACUCUGGGGCUCAGGAGCCCCAGGCCUGGCUCUGCCAGGAAAUAAAGCUGGCUUCUGUCUGCUUUCUGACCAGUUCUAAACUGGAACCCCGAAGACACCUAGACAAUGGCCUAGGACCAAGUCCAGCUGACCCUGAUGGUGGUUUUUUAUCUAUAACACCAAACACAUGGCCAGGAGUGAGGUGAUCAAUAUGUUGAUCUUCAUUAAAAUUAAAAACUUCUGCCCUGUGAAAAAUCACCAAGGUAAUGAAAGACAAGCCGCAGACUAGGUAGAUAUAUCUACAAAGCAUAUAGAUGCCUGCUAUCUAGAAUACACAGUAAGCUGGGGAUGUAGCUGGGCUGUGUAAGUGCCUGCCUGGCAAGUGCAAGAUCCUGAGUCUUAUUCCCAGUACCAAUAUAUAUAUAUAUAUAUAUAUAUAUAUAUAUAUAUAUAUACCCACAAAGAAUUCUUAAAACUCAAUAAUAAGAAAAAUACCAACCCUGUUGAAAAUGGACAGAAUAUCUAAACAGACACCUCACAGGGAGGAAUACAGGCAGAAAUUUUAAAAUUAAAUUAUCCAUGUUUAUGUAUCAGUGAGUAUGUAUACGUAUUGGUGUGCAUGUGUGUGCAUCCACGUGUGUGUGUGUGUGUACCCAUGUAUAUGCAUGCAUCAGUGUGUGUUUGUGUUACUGUGUCAGGUUGCAAACUGAUACAUGCAAAUGCACACAUACAUAUGGGUACACAUGGGUAUGCACACACACACAGGUACAUACAAAAACAUGAGUGCACAUGUAGACGUGGCUAUGCACACUUACACAUGGACACAUACAAACGCAUGGAUUCUGUUGUGGUUGGUACACUGUGUUAGCUGGAGAAGCCUGGAAGCUGAACUAAGUGACUGAGUGGCUCUGUAUCCUGGGGGGAGAGGAUGCGCCCUCACCUCCAGGGUGCUGUUCAUUGUGUCAGGAGUUUAACUAAGGGACUCAGCAGGGCCAGGGUCCAUCCUUUGUAACAUCCUCAGCCUGUCCUAAAGGGGACCUAGAGAUGGGUGAGCACCGCAGGCACCUGAGGGGCACAGCCUGUGUACAGUAGAGGGGAGGAGAAGGGGCCUGUUACUCACCUUUUGUUUUUACUGCUUUUACUGUCUUCUGCCGCCUCGAAGUGUUGCCCCUCACCUUCCCCCUGCAUUGGAAUCAGCCGACUAUGGACUGAAACCUCCACAACCGUCACUCACACCUGUCUGCACGGAAAGACAGGACUGAAGAACACCGUGUCCUCACAGCCACUGGCAUCCAAGGACAGCAGAAUCCUCCUGCCUGGGAACCUUCAGCUCUUUGCUGCCUCCAUUUUUCCCAUUUCAGUAAUUCUUGCAGCCCAUGUUGUGUAAAUAAAAUUAUUCUUCCCAAAAAA